UACAGAGGUCUCAAGCGUUGUUCGGAUUCAUUGGGCGUAAAGGGAGCGUAGGUGGCGCCGUAAGUCAGGUGUGAAAUCUCGGGGCUCAACCCCGAAACUGCACUUGAUACUGCGGUGCUCGAGUACUGGAGAGGAGAUUGGAAUUUACGGUGUAGCAGUGAAAUGCGUAGAUAUCGUAAGGAAGACCAGUGGCGAAGGCGGGUCUCUGGACAGUUCCUGACACUGAGGCACGAAAGCUAGGGGAGCAAACAGG
rnacentral:rRNA from 1 species